rnacentral:rRNA from 1 species
GACGAACGCUGGCGGCGUGCUUAACACAUGCAAGUCGAACGGAAAGGCCCUGCUUUUGUGGGGUGCUCGAGUGGCGAACGGGUGAGUAACACGUGAGUAACCUGCCCUUGACUUUGGGAUAACUUCAGGAAACUGGGGAUAAUACCGGAUAGGAGCUCCUGCUGCCUGGUGGGGGUUGGAAAGUUUCGGCGGUUGGGGAUGGACUCGCGGCUUAUCAGCUUGUUGGUGGGGUUGUGGCUUACCAAGGCUUUGACGGGUAGCCGGCCUGAGAGGGUGACCGGCCACAUGGCGACUGAGAUACGGCCCACACUCCUACGGGAGGCAGCAGUGUGGAAUAUUGCACAAUCGGCGGAAGCCGGAUGCAGCAACGCCGCGUGCGGGAUGACGGCCUUCGGGUUGUAGACCGCUUUCGCCUGUGACGAAGCGUGAGUGACGGUAAUGUGUAAAGAAGCACCGGCUAACUACGUG